rnacentral:rRNA from 1 species
UACGAAGGGGGCGAGCGUUGUUCGGAUUUACUGGGCGUAAAGCGCGCGCAGGCGGCUAUCCAAGUCAGUGGUGAAAGCCCGGAGCUCAACUCCGGAACUGCCAUUGAAACUGUUUAGCUUGAGGACGAGAGAGGUGAGUGGAAUUCCCAGUGUAGAGGUGAAAUUCGUAGAUAUUGGGAAGAACACCGGUGGCGAAGGCGGCUCACUGGCUCGUUUCUGACGCUCAGGCGCGAUAGCGUGGGGAUCAAACAGG